rnacentral:miRNA from 2 species
AGGAGGCCAUAGUGGCAACUGU